rnacentral:rRNA from 1 species
GGACCAAGGAGUCUAGCAUGUGCGCGAGUCAUUGGGACUCUAACUAAACCUAAAGGCGAAAUGAAAGUGAAGGUCCGCCUCGCGCGGACCUAGGGAGGAUGGGCGAUCCCGAGGGGUCGUCCCGCACUCCCGGGGCGUCUCGUUCUCAUCGCGAGAAGAGGCGCACCCAGAGCGUACACGCUGGGACCCGAAAGAUGGUGAACUAUGCCUGGUCAGGACGAAGUCAGGGGAAACCCUGAUGGAGGUCCGUAGCGAUUCUGACGUGCAAAUCGAUCGUCGGAACUGGGUAUAGGGGCGAAAGACUAAUCGAACCAUCUAGUAGCUGGUUCCCUCCGAAGUUUCCCUCAGGAUAGCUGGCGCUCGCUUUUCGCGAGUCUCAUUCGGUAAAGCGAAUGAUUAGAGGCAUUGGGGUCGAAACGGCCUCAACCUAUUCUCAAACUUUAAAUGGGUGAGAUCUCCGGCUUGCUUGAACUGUGAAGCCGCGAGAUAUCGGAUCAGAGUGCCAAGUGGGCCACUUUUGGUAAGCAGAACUGGCGCUGUGGGAUGAACCAAACGCUGAGUUAAAGCGCCUAAAUCGACGCUUAUGGGAUACCAUGAAAGGCGUUGGUAACUUAAGACAGCAGGACGGUGGCCAUGGAAGUCGGA